rnacentral:rRNA from 1 species
GAUGAACGCUAGCGGCAGGCUUAACACAUGCAAGUAGAGGGGUAACAGGAAAAAGCUUGCUUUUUCGCUGACGACCUGCGAACGGGUGCGUAACACGUAUGGAACCUACCUUAUACUGGGGCAUAGCCAUCUGAAAAGAUGAUUAAUUCCCCAUAAUAUCUUCUUUAGGCAUCUCUAGAAGAUUAAAACUCCGGUGGUAUAAGAUGGCCAUGCGGCCCAUUAGUUAGUUGGUGAGGUAACGGCUCACCAAGACCACGAUGGGUAGGGGUUCUGAGAGGAUUAUCCCCCACACUGGUACUGAGACACGGACCAGACUCCUACGGGAGGCAGCAGUGAGGAAUAUUGCACAAUGGAGGAAACUCUGAUGCAGCCAUGCCGCGUGCAGGAUGACAGCCCUAUGGGUCGUAAACUGCUUUUAUAUGCCAAGAAACCUUCGGACGUGUCCGAAGCUGACGGUAGCAUAUGAAUAAGCACCGGCUAACUCCG